rnacentral:misc_RNA from 1 species
GUGUUCUGCCUCCACCCUGACAUCCUCCGCUCGCUUCGAUCCCGGAUGGUGGUCGCGCCUCCGCCUCCCAAGAUUUUCGCGCCGCACCUCCACCAUUUUCGCCGCCGCACUCGCGACACCACCUCCCAGGGAGGAUCCACACCUUCUUGCCCCCGCCACCGCCUCUCGCCCGCGACCUCUUGCACCACGCGCCAGCCCGCACUUCCACCAUUUUCGCCGCCGCGCAUGCCGCACCCUUCCAUCCUUGCCUCUGUCGUCCUCGACGACCACGCCCGCGGCCACGAAUCUCGCCUAUGACAAAGCAAGGAUCGAGCUCCCGCCUUCCAACCUCAGCAGCUCUUUCCAUCGUCACGUAUACAUUGACGUCUCCUUCCAUCCACGCCAAAAGAGACGGCCUUCAAUCCCGUGACCACUGCCCCUGCUCCCGCCCUCCAUCCCUCCUCCAUCUCGUGCUGCUCCUUCGGACUUCGGAUCCCAUCGCCCCGCUCGCCUCGACUCCACCUCUACCUCCUUGGUGGGAGAGAGAGAGAGAGAGGGAGAGAGAGAACCAGACCACCAGCAAGCAUGAGGCAGAGGAGGAGCAUGGCGUGGAUUCUGCGGACGUGAAAUCUUGUUCCUUCUGUGACUUAAUAUGUUAUUAUCUUGUUCCUUCUGUGAAGU